GUGCCUAAUGCAUGCUAGUCGAGCGAAUGGAUUGAGAGCUUGCUCUCAAGAAGUUAGCGGCGGACGGGUGAGUAACACGUGGGUAACCUGCCCAUAAGACUGGGAUAACUCCGGGAAACCGGGGCUAAUACCGGAUAACAUUUUGAACCGCAUGGUUCGAAAUUGAAAGGCGGCUUCGGCUGUCACUUAUGGAUGGACCCGCGUCGCAUUAGCUAGUUGGUGAGGUAACGGCUCACCAAGGCAACGAUGCGUAGCCGACCUGAGAGGGUGAUCGGCCACACUGGGACUGAGACACGGCCCAGACUCCUACGGGAGGCAGCAGUAGGGAAUCUUCCGCAAUGGACGAAAGUCUGACGGAGCAACGCCGCGUGAGUGAUGAAGGCUUUCGGGUCGUAAAACUCUGUUGUUAGGGAAGAACAAGUGCUAUUUGAAUACGCUGGCACCGUGACGGUACCUAACCAGAAAGCC
rnacentral:rRNA from 1 species